rnacentral:rRNA from 1 species
UAAUUGAAGAGUUUGAUCAUGGCUCAGAUUGAACGCUGGCGGCAGGCCUAACACAUGCAAGUCGAGCGGCAGCGACAACAUUGAACCUUCGGGGGAUUUGUUGGGCGGCGAGCGGCGGACGGGUGAGUAAUGCCUGGGAAAUUGCCCUGAUGUGGGGGAUAACCAUUGGAAACGAUGGCUAAUACCGCAUGAUAGCUUCGGCUCAAAGAGGGGGACCUUCGGGCCUCUCGCGUCAGGAUAUGCCCAGGUGGGAUUAGCUAGUUGGUGAGGUAAGGGCUCACCAAGGCGACGAUCCCUAGCUGGUCUGAGAGGAUGAUCAGCCACACUGGAACUGAGACACGGUCCAGACUCCUACGGGAGGCAGCAGUGGGGAAUAUUGCACAAUGGGCGCAAGCCUGAUGCAGCCAUGCCGCGUGUAUGAAGAAGGCCUUCGGGUUGUAAAGU